GACAGAGGGUGCAAACGUUGUUCGGAAUUACUGGGCGUAAAGCGCACGUAGGCGGCUUCUUAAGUCAGGGGUGAAAUCCUGGAGCUCAACUCCAGAACUGCCUUUGAUACUGAGAGGCUUGAGUCCGGGAGAGGUGAGUGGAACUGCGAGUGUAGAGGUGGAAUUCGUAGAUAUUAGGAAGAACACCAGUGGCGAAGGCGGCUCACUGGUCCGGUACUGACGCUGAGGUGCGAAAGCGUGGGGAGCAAACAGG
rnacentral:rRNA from 1 species